UACGUAGGGGGCAAGCGUUGUCCGGAAUUAUUGGGCGUAAAGAGCGUGUAGGCGGCCAGAUAAGUCCGCUGUGAAAUCUCGAGGCUCAACUUCGAGCUGUCGGUGGAAACUAUCUGGCUAGAGUCCGGAAGAGGAGAAUGGAAUUCCUGGUGUAGCGGUGAAAUGUGCAGAUAUCAGGAAGAACACCCGUGGCGAAGGCGGUUCUCUGGGACGGUACUGACGCUGAGACGCGAAAGCGUGGGGAGCGAACAGG
rnacentral:rRNA from 1 species